rnacentral:rRNA from 1 species
UACGUAGGGGGCAAGCGUUAUCCGGAUUUACUGGGUGUAAAGGGAGCGUAGACGGUUAUGCAAGUCAGAAGUGAAAGCCCAAAGCUCAACUUCGGGACUGCUUUUGAAACUGUGUAACUAGAGUGCAGGAGGGGUAAGCGGAAUUCCUAGUGUAGCGGUGAAAUGCGUAGAUAUUAGGAGGAACACCAGUGGCGAAGGCGGCUUUCUGGACUGAAACUGACGCUGAGGCACGAAAGCGUGGGGAGCGAACAGG